UUUCUCCCAAUGUUCUGUCAAUAUCAAAAUGGAAAAAAAAGAAACAGGAUGUUAAAGGGACUGUAUUCCUGUACAUGUAUUCUUUACUUUGGAAGAUAAUAAUUAUUAUCUUGGAAUUUCGAAGAAAGCAACUAGCAAUAAUAGUACCAGAAUAAUCUUCAGGGCAUGUUGUUAGAAUAUUUGGAACAGAUAAAUUUUC